rnacentral:rRNA from 1 species
GUACACUCCUGCGGGAGGCAGCAGUGGGGAAUUUUGGACAAUGGGCGAAAGCCUGAUCCAGCAAUGCCGCGUGCAGGAUGAAGGCCUUCGGGUUGUAAACUGCCUUUGUACGGAACGAAAAAGCUCCUUCUAAUACAGGGGGCCCAUGACGGUACCGUAAGAAUAAGCACCGGCUAACUACGUGCCAGCAGCCGCGGUAAUACGUAGGGUGCGAGCGUUAAUCGGAAUUACUGGGCGUAAAGCGUGCGCAGGCGGUUAUGUAAGACAGAUGUGAAAUCCCCGGGCUCAACCUGGGAACUGCAUUUGUGACUGCAUGGCUAGAGUACGGUAGAGGGGGAUGGAAUUCCGCGUGUAGCAGUGAAAUGCGUAGAUAUGCGGAGGAACACCGAUGGCGAAGGCAAUCCCCUGGACCUGUACUGACGCUCAUGCACGAAAGCGUGGGGAGCAAACAGGAUUAGAUACCCGAGUAGUCC